CUUUUCAUGCUGGAAAUUCCACGGGGAGGAAGGAGAGUGCCUGCAGACAGCAACUGCCUCUGUAGUGAAGGGAAGUCUGAAGUUUCCCCUCUGCUUUUUCGUGCAUAACAGCAUCUGUACGCCUCAUUUCCAUCUUCACAGCUCCUGUAAUUUACAUAAUGAACAUUUGCAAAGCCUGAGAUCUGGGUUCACUUUGUACCACAUUUACUGUAGAUGACCUUCAGCGUAUCAUCAGAAAAGUUUCCCAGGCAAUUUUCCCAAAGGGUGUGAAUGUGAAACCUACGAUCUCUGGGAAGGAGGAAAGGGGAAUGAAAGCAGAUUUCUGAGAUAUCUGUCAUUCAAAGGCACUCUUGAAAGACAUCCAUUGGAUUUGCAGCAUGGCAGAGGGAGCCCUGUCUACACAGUGGCCUUUGAGGAACAGACAGGUUGUAAUGUCAGGAUAUGAGGUUGAAAGGCCAGGUCUGAGUCAACUCUCAGAUGAAUUCUGAGCAUUUCCUUUCUACGUGGAUGAGUUCCAAGAA
rnacentral:lncRNA from 1 species